rnacentral:rRNA from 1 species
UUUUAUUAGACAUUAAAAACCAAUCGUUCAGCUUGUCUGGGCGUGUUUUUGAUGAUUCUAGAUAAUACCUCAGUUUCGCACAGCCUUCGUGCAGGUGACACAUCUUUCAAAUGCCUGACUUAUCAACUGUCGAUGGUAGACUCAUUGUCUACCAUGGUAGUUACGGGUAACGGGGAAUCAGGGUUCGAUUCCGGAGAGGGAGCCUGAGAAACGGCUACCACAUCCAAGGAAGGCAGCAGGCACGCAAAUUACCCAUUUCCAGAACGGAGAGGUAGUGACAAAAAAUAACGAUACGGGACUCUAUUGAGGCCCCGUAAUCGGAAUGAGUACACUUUAAAUCCUUUAACCAGGAUCCAUUGGAGGGCAAGUCUGGUGUCAGCAGCCGCGGUAAUUCCAGCUCCAAUAGCGUAUAUUAAAGUUGUUGCAGUUAAAAAGCUCGUAGUUGGUUUUGCGUGCCACGCUGUCGGUUCGCCGCCUGACGGUGAAACUGGCAUGUCGUGGUACGUCCUGCCGGUGGUAAACGGUUACCUGGCAUGUGGCAAAAUGCUUUUUAGCUAUUUUGUUGCUGCCUUUGUGUAAUCGUUUGCCGAUUUUAUCCUACCCGGUGCUCUUAAACGAGUGUCGAGGUAGGCCGGCAAAUUUACUUUGAACAAAUUAGAGUGCUUAAAGCAGGCUAAAAUUAUAGCCUGAAUAGUGGUGCAUGGAAUAAUGAAAUAGGACCUCGGUUCUAUUUUGUUGGUUUUCGGAACACAAGGUAAUGAUCAAUGUGGACAAGCGGGGGCAUUCGUAUUGCGGCGUUAGAGGUGAAAUUCUUGGAUCGUCGCAAGACGCACAAGAGCGAAAGCAAUUGCCAAGUAUGUCUUAAUUGAUCAAGAACGAAAGUUAGAGGUUCGAAGGCGAUCAGAUACCGCCCUAGUUCUAACCAUAAACGAUGCCAGCCAGCGAUCCGACGUGUUCAUACUAUGACACGUGCGGGCAGCUUCUUCCCGGGAAACCAAAGCUGUUGGGUUCCGGGGGAAGUAUGGUUGCAAAGCUGAAACUUAAAGGAAUUGACGGAAGGGCACCACCAGGAGUGGAGCCUGCGGCUUAAUUUGACUCAACACGGGAAACCUCACCAGGUCAGGACAUUGUAAGGAUUGACAGAUUGAUAGCUCUUUCUUGAUUCAGUGGGUAGUGGUGCAUGGCCGUC